GUGUGUCUUUAGCAUGUUUAUACAAGACAUUAUUCCCCUUCCUGUGAGCAUCUUCUUUGGCCUGAAGGAGCUGUCUGAGUUUUGCAGUGAACCAUGGUUUGUCAUUGUUGUA